UACGAAGGGGGCUAGCGUUGUUCGGAAUUACUGGGCGUAAAGCGCGCGCAGGCGGUCUUCCAAGUCAGUGGUGAAAGCCCGGAGCUCAACUCCGGAACUGCCAUUGAAACUGUAAGACUUGAGGAUGAGAGAGGUGAGUGGAAUUCCCAGUGUAGAGGUGAAAAUUCGUAGAUAUUGGGAAGAACACCUGUGGCGAAAGCGGCUCACUGGACCACAACUGACGCUGAGGCGCGAAAGCUAGGGGAGCAAACAGG
rnacentral:rRNA from 1 species